rnacentral:lncRNA from 1 species
AUAUUUAAUUGAGAAUUAAGAGUUGGAACUUUAGAUCUAGAAUUAUGAAUUUAAGAUUUAAUGACAUUACAUAAAAUAUGAAACUAUGGAUUAGCUCAAAUCAGAUCAUUUAAUUGGAUUAAAUCUAGAGUUAGAAUCAAAUAAUGGACUAAAUAGAGUUGUUGAUCAAAUCUAAUCAAAAGUUGAUUUAGCUUAGGUCAAGGACACUC